rnacentral:rRNA from 1 species
AUACGGAGGAUCCGAGCGUUAUCCGGAUUUACUGGGCGUAAAGGGCGUGUAGGCGGUCUUGCAAGUCAGAAGUGAAAUUCCUGAGCUCAACUCGGGCGCUGCUUCUGAAACUGCAGGACUUGAGUGCUGGAGGGGAUAGCGGAAUUCCUAGUGGAGCGGUAAAAUGCGCAGAUAUUAGGAAGAACACCGGUGGCGAAGGCGGCUAUCUGGACGGUAACUGACGGUGAGGCUCGAAAGCACGGGGAGCAAACAGGAUUUGAUACCCUGGUAGUCCGUGCUUUAAACGAUGAAUACUAGGUGUACGAGGUAUCGAGCCCUUCUGUGCCGCAGUUAUAACAUUAAGGAUUCCACCUGGGGAGUUUCGCCUCAUGGUUGAAGCUUGAAGGAAUUUACGGGC